UAAGGAAUAUUGGACAAUGGCCGCAAGGCUGAUCCAGCCAUGCCGCGUGCAGGAUGACAGAGCUCUGCUCCGUAAACUGCUUUUACUUGGGAAAAAACCCCUGCUUUCCAGCGGGGCUGAUUGUACCGAGAGAAUAAGGGACGGCUAACUUCGUGCCAGCAGCCGCGGUAAUACGAAGGUCCCAAGCGUUAUCCGGAUUUAUUGGGUUUAAAGGGUGCGUAGGCGGCUUAUUAAGUCAGUGGUGAAAGCCCCAAGCUUAACUUGGGAAUUGCCAUUGAUACUGAUGAGCUUGAGUAGAUUUGAGGCGGGCGGAAUGUGUCGUGUAGCGGUGAAAUGCUUAGAUAUGACACAGAACACCGAUUGCGUAGGCAGCUCGCUAAACUCUUACUGACGCUGAGGCACGAAAGCAUGGGGAUCAAACAGGAUUAGAUACCCCCGUAGUCC
rnacentral:rRNA from 1 species